UCCUCCCCAUUUCCUUUGCAGAAUCGUCCUGCCAGAGCCUUUCGCCACAUCAAGGUUCUGGUGGAGAGCAACUGGGGACAUCCAGAAUACACCUGCAUUUACCGAGUGCAGGUGCACGGGAAGGUGGUGAAAAAACUGACCAUCUGGAAUUGGACUUGGAAGAUCUGAAAUUGGCAUUUGUCAGAUCUGAAAUUGGCAUUUGUCAGAUCUGUAAUUGGACUUAUUGACCAAAAAAUAAAAACAUCAACAUCAUCUCGAA